AUUGAACGCUGGGGGCAGGCCUAACACAUGCAAGUCGAGCGAGCGGCGGACGGGUGUGUAAUGCAUGGGGGCUGCGCGAUAGAGGGGGGGAACUGCAGGUAACGGUUGCUAAUACCGCAUACCAUCGGAUAACCCAGAUGUGAUUAGCUAGUAGGUGAGGGAAUGGCUCACCUGGGCGUCGAUCCCUAGUUGGUUUGAGAGAUUGAUCAGCAGCACUGGGACUGAGACACGGCCCAGACUCCUACGGAGGCGGCAGUGGGAAAUCGUGCACAAUGGGCGCGAGCCUGAUGCCGCCACGCCCCGUGUAUGAAGAAGGCCCUAGGGUGGUAAAGUACUAUCAGUCGGGAGGCGGUACGGCCGGAAGAAGCAGCGGCUAACACCGUGCCAGCAGCCGCGGUAAUUC
rnacentral:rRNA from 1 species